GAGUUUGAUCGUGGCUCAGGAUGAACGCUAGCUACAGGCUUAACACAUGCAAGUCGAGGGGCAGCAUGGGCUUAGCUUGCUAAGCCCGAUGGCGACCGGCGCACGGGUGAGUAACACGUAUCCAACCUUCCGGUAACUCCGGUAUAGCCUUUCGAAAGAAAGAUUAAUCCCGGAUAGUAUGGUGAUUCCGCAUGGUUUUUCCAUUAAAGGAUUCCGGUUACCGAUGGGGAUGCGUUCCAUUAGGCAGUUGGCGGGUAACGGCCCACCAAACCUACGAUGGAUAGGGGUUCUGAGAGGAAGGUCCCCCACAUUGGAACUGAGACACGGUCCAAACUCCUACGGGAG
rnacentral:rRNA from 1 species